CGCUUUGGGAGGGGCUCGCGGCCUAUCAGCUUGUUGGUGAGGUAACGGCUCACCAAGGCGACGACGGGUAGCUGGUCUGAGAGGACGAUCAGCCACACUGGGACUGAGACACGGCCCAGACUCCUACGGGAGGCAGCAGUGGGGAAUCUUGCGCAAUGGGGGAAACCCUGACGCAGCAACGCCGCGUGGAGGAUGAAGUCCUUCGGGACGUAAACUCCUUUCGAUCGGGACGAUUAUGACGGUACCGGAAGAAGAAGCCCCGGCUAACUUCGUGCCAGCAGCCGCGGUAAUACGAGGGGGGCGAGCGUUGUUCGGAAUUAUUGGGCGUAAAGGGUGCGUAGGCGGUUUGGUAAGUCUUAUGUGAAAUCUAUGGGCUCAACUCAUAGACUGCAUGAGAAACUGCCGGGCUUGAGUGUGGGAGAGGUGAGUGGAAUUUCCGGUGUAGCGGUGAAAUGCGUAGAUAUCGGAAGGAACACCUGUGCGAAAGCGGCUCACUGGACCGCAACUGACGCUGAUGCACGAAAGCUAGGGGAGCAAACAGGAUUAGAUACCCUGGUAGUCCUAGCCCUAAACCAUGAUUGCUUGGUGUGACGGGUACCCAAUCCCGCCGUGCCGUAGCUAACGCUUUAAGCAUCCCGCCUGGGGAGUACGGUCGCAAGAUUAAA
rnacentral:rRNA from 1 species